GAUGAACGCUGGCGGCGUGCCUAAUACAUGCAAGUCGAGCGAACGGACGAGAAGCUUGCUUCUCUGAUGUUAGCGGCGGACGGGUGAGUAACACGUGGAUAACCUACCUAUAAGACUGGGAUAACUUCGGGAAACCGGAGCUAAUACCGGAUAAUAUUUUGAACCGCAUGGUUCAAAAGUGAAAGACGGUCUUGCUGUCACUUAUAGAUGGAUCCGCGCUGCAUUAGCUAGUUGGUAAGGUAACGGCUUACCAAGGCAACGAUGCAUAGCCGACCUGAGAGGGUGAUCGGCCACACUGGAACUGGGACACGGUCCAGACUCCUACAGGAGGCAGCAGUAGGGAAUCUUCCGCAAUGGGCGAAAGCCUGACGGAGCAACGCCGCGUGAGUGAUGAAGGUCUUCGGAUCGUAAAACUCUGUUAUUAGGGAAGAACAUAUGUGUAAGUAACUGUGCACAUCUUGACGGUACCUAAUCAGAAAGCCACGGCUAACUACGUGC
rnacentral:rRNA from 1 species